UACGAAGGGGGCUAGCGUUGUUCGGAUUUACUGGGCGUAAAGCGCGUGUAGGCGGACUUGUAAGUUGGGGGUGAAAUCCCGAGGCUCAACCUCGGAACUGCCUCCAAAACUACAAGUCUGGAGCAAGAUAGAGGCAAGUGGAAUUGCGAGUGUAGAGGUGAAAUUCGUAGAUAUUCGCAGGAACACCAGUGGCGAAGGCGACUUGCUGGCUGACAACUGACGCUGAGACUCGAAAGCAUGGGGAGCAAACAGG
rnacentral:rRNA from 1 species